rnacentral:lncRNA from 1 species
CCAAGUAUUGAUAUAGUAAUAUUUUGUUACUUGAUUAAUGGUCAAACACACUGCUUCUCUAUCUUCCAGUAGGUGCCUCAGAAUUUUGCAGUUUAUCAUACCAUACUGCUACUCGAAUAAAAAUGUCUAUCUUUGUGUUCUACAUUAAAGGUAUCAUAUGAAGUUUAAUUAUUUUAAGCGUUCAUCACCAAAACUACUUUUUUUGUAGUGAAAGGCUUCAUAGAAUUUCAUAGAUGUUGCACAUCAUGAGAUUAACAUGUAGAAGAAUGUAUUCAUAACCAUAAAGUAGAGGAAAAGAUGCAAACACGACAUGUCUUUGCCUCUCAACAUUUUGUGUUAUAUGUCAUGUUUCUAUUAAUUAUUUUGCUUGACAUGAUUCUGCCCAUGGUAACUUUUAUUUUCUCUAACAGGCAGGAAAAAAAGUAUUUUUAACGAGCCUAAAAAAUCAUAACAGAAAUGUAGCUCUUGCUACAGUUGUAAGUUGUGAUCCUACAUUUGAACUUGAUGGUGCUGAAAUUACUAAUGAAUUCUAGGUAGUGCAUGUCGAGAUGGCACUUGUGAAAACUGAAGAUUAGGUACAGAGUCGCAAAAACUGCAACUCUUGGUAAUGCAGAUUUGGUUGUGCAUGUCAACCUUUGUAAGUGAUUAAUAUCCUGCCUAUAUCAGUACUUGCAUCAUGUCAAUGCAUUGUGUGUUAACAAUUCAUUUUUUUUGUAGAUCCAAAAGAUAAAUGGACGAUUCUAUGGGUGUGUGUGGCAAGUAUACUACAAUGAUGAUGAUGUUCCUGUUCAUGAUGAUGAAGACGGAUGGUUUCAGUUUUAGUUAAGCUGUAGGGAUCAUGUUCCUGUUGGAUGAUGUUC